rnacentral:tRNA from 3 species
GCGCUCGUAGCUCAGUUGGAUAGAGCAACGGCCUUCUAAGCCGUGGGUCGCAGGUUCGAGUCCUGCCGAGCGCG